rnacentral:rRNA from 1 species
GACGGAGGGUGCAAGCGUUGUUCGGAUUGACUGGGCGUAAAGGGCGCGUAGGUGGCCCGGUCAGUUUGUGGUGAAAGCGCGGGGCUCAACUCCGCGUCGGCCAUGAAUACUGCUGGGCUGGAGCACUGUAGAGGCAGGCGGAAUUCCGGGUGUAGCGGUGAAAUGCGUAGAGAUCCGGAGGAACACCGGUGGCGAAGGCGGCCUUCUGGGCUGUCCCUGACACUGAGGCGCGAAAGCGUGGGGAGCGAACUGA